rnacentral:rRNA from 1 species
GAUGAACGCUGGCGGCGUGCUUAAUACAUGCCAGUCGAGCGAACGGACCAUAAUCUUGUUUUUCUGUCGUUUGCCGCGCGCGUGUGAGACACACGUGUAUACUCUCCUUAUAUUUGUGGUAUAAUCUCGGGAAUCCGGAUCUUAUCCGGUAGAAUCUCUUGAACCCUAUGGGUCAAAGGUGAAAUUCGGCGUUUCUGUAUGUUCUAGAGGCUUCUCCGCUGCAUUAGUUAGUUGGUAAGUUAACGGGUUACCAAGGGGACGAUGCAUAGCCGACUUGCUAGGGUGAUCGGCCACACUGGAAGUGAGACACGGUCCAGGCUACUACGGGAGGCAGCAGUCGGGGAUCUGCGGCAAUAGGCGAGAGCCUGACGGAGCAACGCCGCGUGAGUGAUGAAGGUGUUCGGAUCGUAAAACUCUGUUAUUAGGGAAGAACAUAUGUGUAAGUAAAUGUGCAGAUCUUGACGGUACCUAAUCAGAAAGCCACGGCUAACUACGUG